rnacentral:lncRNA from 1 species
ACUCACGGGAUGUGGGUCUGGAAGGAGUUCUGAGCAGCUGAUGCUACCAGGUGGGGAGAUAGUGGGGAGGUGACACCAAACUGAAAUGAAGUGACAGGAGGAGGGCCAGCUUCUGUCAAUUCUCUCAUCAGUCUUGGGAGUUACUGGUAACUAUGCCCAUCUUGCAGAGGAGGAAGCUGAGCUCUGGCACAUGGAACUUGUCCAAGGUCACACAGCUGCAGGCACACUGGCACAGGGCCUGGCCAACCGUCUGUGGAGUUGAUCCAAACCAAUGCUGUGCUGGUAAGUCCAAUUUAAAAGAAAAAAAAGCCUGCUUUGAAGCAUGUGCCAUUUCUUGUGGUGUAAAUACUCCCACCUCAGCCAAUUUCAGUGGCCAGCAUGAUGUCACUGAAUGUGGGGCUGGGGAUCCAUUUUCAUGAGUCCCUAGCUGGCUUCAGACCACCACUGACUCCAACUCAGGCCAGCCUGGUUCUGAGGCCCCUUCUCCUUCCACAGUGCCAAGCACACAGCUCACAACUAAUCUGGGUCUUGGUAUUUGUAUUCACUGCCCUUUACCCUAGUCUCUCAUGGGUUUUACAUAUAGGUUGGUGUGUACAGUGGGAUACAGGAAAAUAUCAGACAGUAUAACAGAAUCACUCUCUCUCACUCUGCCCCCAAGCCCAGGCCUGCCCUGUCACUUCAGGAUGUACAAUUCAGUUAAUUCUUCUGGAGCCAUAUUCAAGCAUCAAGACUCCUGCAGAGGGACAUUCUGCCGGGGGCUCACACGAAUCACUGCAGCACGGUUGGAUUUGGUUUUAGUGCUCACUGAGGUGGCUGCAGCUUGGCGAAACCCUGACAUUAGCCAUAGCAGCUACCUGCUCACCAUUCAGAAGCCAAACACAGUGAGGUCUUGUCCCAAAUAGGAAUUGUGUUUCUGAUGUCAAAAUCUGCAAAUGGAUUCAAUUUGCACAGCAGCUGUCCUCAAAGUUGGCAAUUCGACGUCCUCUCAGACAAUUCAUUUUAAGACAAUGUGCAGUGUUUUAGUCCCAAACCUACAAAAGUCCAUAUGCAUCCCAUUUUCUCCCAAAUCCUGUGGCCUGUGGAUAUUUUCCUUCUAACUUGAAACUGACUGCUGUGGAGGCAGAAGAAAGGCAGAUCCAUGAGGCCAGGAAAGGCGGGCGAGCGGAGCCGCGUGCGGACAGGGCCCUUGUGUGGGUGAAAAGGGACAGGGCACCGGGGCAAAACGGAGCCAUUCUGUGACAAACUCACCUCCCAAAGCCACUCAGGGUGGUUGGCUGCAACAGCAGCGACUCAGAGGGAAAGGCCACUGCACCAGCCCUCAGCUCAGGGGGAAGGCGGUGAGAUGACACCACAGGGCAUUAAGCCAGGGCCCCAGAUCAGGUGUGACGUGGAAACCAAGCAUGCUUCAGGGAAGGCCUGGCAGCAGAGACCCGACUUCUGGGCAGGCAGAGCAGUCAAGGCUGCCCAGCAGCUGCUGGUGGACCCUGGGAAACCAGCUGGGGCUGCACAGGGCCAUCCUCUCCCGCUGAGCUGAUGGAACACGUAUGUCACCUCCUCCUGAGGAUGCGGCCCAGAUGGAAAUCACUCCUGGCUGCCCAAACGGAGGCCCGGUGCCUCUGGUCAUGUCCACAUCUCGUCCAGCGCUUCUGCUGCCUCACCAAGUCUGGAAAGAGCUGCUCUUAUCUCAGGCUACCCACUUCCACUCCGCGCCCCUGCCUGUCCCAUCUCUUGGAAUGAGCGCCAGCUUCCUGGGAGUGGAGUGUACCUCUUUCCCAAACAGGCCCUCUGUCUGGAACGCGCCUCUUCUCACUCCCUGAGUCAUCAAUAAAUCUGUCUCACUUUGUCCUGA